rnacentral:rRNA from 1 species
GUUGAACGCUGGCGGCAGGCCUAACACAUGCAAGUCGAGCGGAUGAAGGGAGCUUGCUCCUGGAUUCAGCGGCGGACGGGUGAGUAAUGCAUAGGAAUAUGCCUGGUAGUUGGGGAUAACGUCCGGAAACGAGCCCUGAUACCGCAUACGUCCUGAGAGAGAACGUGGGGGUUCUUCGGACCUCGCGCUAUCAGAUGAGCCUAGGUCGGAUUAGCUAGUUGGUGGGGUAAAGGCCUACCAAGGCGACGAUCCGUAACUGGUCUGAGAGGAUGAUCAGUCACACUGGAACUGAGACACGGUCCAGACUCCUACGGGAGGCAGCAGUGGGGAAUAUUGGACAAUGGGCGAAAGCCUGAUCCAGCCAUGCCGCGUGUGUGAAGAAGGUCUUCGGAUUGUAAAGCACUGUAAUUUGGGAGGAAGGGCAGUAAGUGAAUACCUUGCUGUUUUGACGUUACCAACAGAAUAAGCACCGGCUAACUUCGUG